UCCUCGUUUCUAUAGUGGUGAGUAUCCCUGCCUAUCACGCAGGUGAUUGGGGUUGGAUUCCCCGACGGGAAG